rnacentral:rRNA from 1 species
AUGAACGCUGGCGGCGUGCCUAAUACAUGCACGUCGAGCGAACAGACGAGGAGCUUGCUCCUCUGACGUUAGCGGCGGACGGGUGAGUAACACGUGGAUAACCUACCUAUAAGACUGGGAUAACUUCGGGAAACCGGAGCUAAUACCGGAUAAUAUAUUGAACCGCAUGGUUCAAUAGUGAAAGACGGUUUUGCUGUCACUUAUAGAUGGAUCCGCGCCGCAUUAGCUAGUUGGUAAGGUAACGGCUUACCAAGGCGACGAUGCGUAGCCGACCUGAGAGGGUGAUCGGCCACACUGGAACUGAGACACGGUCCAGACUCCUACGGGAGGCAGCAGUAGGGAAUCUUCCGCAAUGGGCGGAAGCCUGACGGAGCAACGCCGCGUGAGUGAUGAAGGUCUUCGGAUCGUAAAACUCUGUUAUUAGGGAAGAACAAAUGUGUAAGUAACUAUGCACGUCUUGACGGUACCUAAUCAGAAAGCCACGGCUAACUACGUG